UAAGGAAUAUUGGUCAAUGGGCGCAAGCCUGAACCAGCCAUGCCGCGUGAAGGAUGACGGCCCUAUGGGUUGUAAACUUCUUUUGUACGGGAAAAAACCACCGGUCGUGUAUCGGUGCUGAUGGUACCGUAAGAAUAAGCAUCGGCUAACUCCGUGCCAGCAGCCGCGGUAAUACGGAGGAUGCAAGCGUUAUCCGGAUUCAUUGGGUUUAAAGGGUGCGCAGGCGGAGUGUUAAGUCAGUGGUGAAAUCUCUCGGCUCAACCGGGAAACUGCCAUUGAUACUGACAUUCUUGAGUAUUGUUGAGGUAGGCGGAAUGUGUCAUGUAGCGGUGAAAUGCUUAGAUAUGACACAGAACACCGAUCGCGAAGGCAGCUUACCAAGCAAUAACUGACGCUCAUGCACGAAAGCGUGGGGAUCAAACAGGAUUAGAUACCCUGGUAGUCCACGCCGUAAACGAUGAUCACUCGAUGUUGGCGAUACACAGUCAGCGUCUUAGGGAAACUAUUAAGUGAUCCACCUGGGGAGUACGGUCGCAAGAUUG
rnacentral:rRNA from 1 species